GCCAGCAGUUGCGGUUAUACAAAUAAUAUAAUUUAAUUUUAUUAAUAAAAAUUAAUUGAUUUAUUUAAAUUUUAAAUUAAAAUUUUUUAGGUAAAAUUAUAAAUUUUAAUUAUAUUUAUAUUAUUAAAUGAAGUUUAGAAAUUUAAUUUAUAAACUAGGAUUAGAUACCCUAUUAUUUUAAAUGUAAUUUGUUUAUUUAAUUAUUAAAAGUUAUGUUCUUUAAAAUUAAAAAUUUUGGCGGUAUUUUAGUCUUUUCAGAGGAACCUGUUUUGUAAAUGAUAAUCCACGAUUUAAUUUAUUUUUAUUAUUAAUUUGUAUAUCAUCGUAAUUAAGUAUUUUAUUAGAAUUAUUAAUAUUUAAAGUUUUUUAUAAAAAAAUUAGUCAGAUCAAGGUGCAAUUUAUAUAAAAGUAAUAAUGGGUUACAAUAAAUUUAUUUUUGGAUAAUUUUUAAUAUUAAAAAUUUGAAUUUGGAUUUGAUAGUAAGUUUAAUUAAUUUAUUAAAUUGAUUUUAGCUC
rnacentral:rRNA from 1 species